AUAGGACCCGCGACUUGAGGCGGAGGUCGAGGAGGGCGAUGCCGCCCUGGCGGUCGCCGGCGGCGAGGAGAUGGGAGCUGGAAGGCUCAGUGGAGGGAGACGACGAGCUUCAUUGAGCGGGUGUCGAUGACGGAGAUGGAGCUGCCGGCGGGGAAUGCGAGGAGGCCGGAGGGGCUGACGUCGGCGGAUCCGAAGUUGUUGCGGCUGGGUGGGCCAGGGCCAGUCUUGGACGGUGGACGGCGUCGGUGAGGGUCUUGGGCUCGACAUGGUUGCGAGAGAGAGAAGGCUCCUCCGCUUCUUGUGGUGAGGUGAAGAGAAAAAGAUCUCAGGUCAUUUUCUGAUCUGGUUUGCUUCUUCUUCUUGCCGGGAUUUAUCUUGGUCUGAAGACUCUGAACCCUCGCUCUGUAAUGGUGAGAGCUAAAUUAAGGUCAUGUAAUGAAAAGUUGGGAUUUUGACCUGGUUUGGAAAGACGAAGGGGUUGUCGUGAUUUUGGAGAGACGAAGGGGAUCGUUGUC
rnacentral:lncRNA from 1 species